rnacentral:rRNA from 1 species
UACAGAGGUCUCAAGCGUUGUUCGGAUUCAUUGGGCGUAAAGGGUGCGUAGGCGGCGCGGUAAGUCGGGUGUGAAAUCUCGGAGCUUAACUCCGAAACUGCAUUCGAUACUGCCGUGCUUGAGGACUGGAGAGGAGACUGGAAUUUACGGUGUAGCGGUGAAAUGCGUAGAUAUCAGGAGGAACACCGGUGGCGAAGGCGGCUCUCUGGACCACAACUGACGCUGAGGCGCGAAAGCUAGGGGAGCAAACAGG